rnacentral:rRNA from 1 species
AUUGAACGCUGGCGGCAGGCCUAACACAUGCAAGUCGAGCGGCGGCGGACGGGUGAGUAAUGCCUAGGAAUCUGCCUGGUAGUGGGGGAUAACUACUGGAAACGGUAGCUAAUACCGCAUACCAUCGGAUGUGCCCAGAUGGGAUUAGCUAGUAGGUGGGGUAACGGCUCACCUAGGCGACGAUCCCUAGCUGGUCUGAGAGGAUGACCAGCCACACUGGAACUGAGACACGGUCCAGACUCCUACGGGAGGCAGCAGUGGGGAAUAUUGCACAAUGGGCGCAAGCCUGAUGCAGCCAUGCCGCGUGUAUGAAGAAGGCCUUCGGGUUGUAAAGUACUUUCAGCGGGGAGGCGUUACCCGCAGAAGAAGCACCGGCUAACUCCGUGCCAGCAGCCGCGGUAAUAC